rnacentral:rRNA from 1 species
GACGGAACCGUGCGAACGUUGUUCGGAAUCACUGGGCUUAAAGGGCGCGUAGGCGGGUCGGAUAGUCUGUGGUGAAAUCCCCCGGCUUAACCGGGGAAUUGCCGUGGAUACUGCCGGCCUCGAGGAGGGUAGGGGCAUCUGGAACUAGCGGUGGAGCGGUGAAAUGCGUUGAUAUCGCUAGGAACUCCGGUGGCGAAGGCGAGGUGCUGGACCCUUUCUGACGCUGAGGCGCGGAAAGCCAGGGGAGCAAACGGG